AUGAUCCGCCGCAGCAGCCGCCGCCGCGGCACCUACCUGACUGACGACGACGACCUCCUCCGGGAAAUCCUCCUACGCCUCCCGCCGCGGCCGUCCUCCCUCCCGCGCGCAUCCGCCGUCUGCAAGCGCUGGCGGGGCCUCGUCACCGACCCAAAGUUCCUCCGCCGCUUCUAUGCCCACCACCGGAAGCCGCCCCUCAUCGGCGUCUUCAACGACCGCUACCCCGAUAGGGUUGCGUUCAGGGCCAUCCUGGGCCGUCCCAACCGCAUCCCUCCUCAGCGCUUCGACCUGCGGCGCCACGGCGUCGAAACUGACUCCGGCUCCAGGACCCGACUGCUCGGGUGCCGCCACGCCCGCGUCCUCCUCAUGGACCAUGUGCACACAGAACUCGUUGUGUGCGCCCCUGUCACCGGCGAGCAGCGUCGGGUCCCUGUUCCCCCGGACCUCAUGAGGGGCUUCCUCAACGGCGCGGUGCUCUGUGCUGCAGGCGGUCUUGGCCAUGUGCACGGCGACUGCCACUCGAGCCCCUUCAAAGUGGUCUCGGUGUCAAGAAAGGAUAAUCGACCGACCGCCCGUGUUUACUCCUCAGAGACUGCCACAUGGGGCAAUCUCAUAACGACAACAGAUCGAUGUGAGCUUGUUGCUGCUAAUCCUGGGAUCCUUGUUGGUGAUGCUCUUUAUUGGUCACCUAGAUCUGUGGGUCCUGGUGGUCUCACCGACGACAUAAUAAAGUUUGAUUUGGGUAGACAGAUCCUUGCUGUCAUCAAAGGGCCUCCUGGUUUCAAUGAAUCCUGCAGCCAUCAGAUCAUCCAUACAGAGGAUGGUGUCGUUGGUCUUGCCAUAUUGUCACGGAGUGGACUUGAAAUAUGGCAAAGGAAGGUCAGCUGUCAUGGUGCUGCCACAUGGUUGCUGCAGAAGACUGUUGAAAUGCAUAUUAUUCUUGGGAUAGCUCCUCAGAAUGAAGGAUCUCGCGGAGCGAUGGAACUACUAGGGUACGACGAGGAUAAUGGUGUAUUGUUUUUAUAUGCGGCCGCCUAUGUCUACAUGGUUGAACUGAUGUCAAUGCAAUCCAAUGAACUUCAUCUAAGCAAUUCUACCAAUAAGUGUCAUCCUUUCACAUGUUUCUAUGCACCAGCCAUUCCUGGUGGACGCAAUGGACCUGAAAUGCUGCAAGAUACGUAG
rnacentral:rRNA from 1 species